GAUGUUUAUAGGGAGCCCACUAACAAAUCUUGUCCUCCUUCUUCUUCUUAUCAUUCCUCCUCCCCACCUACAUCCCUUUCUAGACCAAGUCACAUUAAAUGUUUUAAAUGCUUAGGACAUGGUCAUAUAGCAUCUGCCUGCCCCAAUAAAAAGGCAACAUGCAUUGAGGGUGAAGCCAUUGUCACUAAUGAGUCUACCUCUUCCUUACCUUCACCAAUUUAUGACUCUUC
rnacentral:lncRNA from 1 species